rnacentral:misc_RNA from 1 species
GCUAAACAAAGCUAAAUCUCAUCGCUAUUGAAGAAAAUAGUAUUUUACUAAAUAUAGCAUGAAAUCCUCUUUUCAUAUAAACGUACCAGAAUUUCUUCUAUGUCGAACGGAUCAGUGGUCUGACCAAGGUUAAUUUGCCUUACCAACCCUGAAAGAUGAAGGGAAAAGAACAUGCUAGCGUGUAGAAACUAAAACAUACCUAUUUUCAUUUGAUUUUAUUAUUGCUUUCUACUUCGAACAAGCAAUGGC